ensembl:lncRNA
AGACGAGGAAGAAGAGCUGGCUGGCCAGGAGGGAGGAUGGCAGAUAUGGAGUUUGAACCACAUGGUGGGGGAAAUAAGGAUGAAUGGGUUUCGCUCCAGAAGAAUGGAAAAAUAAGUAAAAUUGUUGCGGGAAAUAAUACAUAUAGGUAUGAUAAUGACACAUCGUAUCUGGUAGGAAUAUGUUUUUUGAAAGAGAGGGUUAUGACUGACUUGUGGAAUCCGUACGAAACAUCCAAAAUGAUGGAAAAGGCAUUGAGUAAAGUCAUAUCAGGGAAGGUCGAGAGAAGUGGGUUAUUUCUUGUGUUUCUGAGGAACAAAAAAAAAUGUGUGUUGGAUAUCAAACCAGUUGAUGGAUGUGACAUAUCAUGCUAUGAACUACGGAGCAUGGCACCUGUCAGAGGAGUCAUUUCUGGAGUCUCGAAGGAUGUUGACAUUGCUUUAUUGAAGGAAAUUCCAGGAGUGGUCGAUGCACGUGGAAUGAAUUGUAUGGUUAAUGGCAGGAAGGAUAAGAAUUUGUCUGUUCAAGUGUUUUUUUUUGAUGUGGAGUCCCUCUGUACUCGGGCGCAGUUGGGGUAUGUGUCCUAUCCUGUUAGAGCUUUUGUAAAUAGGCCUUUAUGUUCUUUCUAAAAAAUGUUUGGACUUGUAAGAAGUGUCUGCAGACGAGAGAAGCCAAGAUGUGGGAUGUGUGGGAAAGACAUCAAUGAAGGAGAUUUUAAAUGUUUAGUAGAAGAGAAUGGACAAGGAGCAAAAUGUUGCAUCUGUGUUGGGGAGCAUGAAGCGCAAUCAUUGGAGUGCCCGUGUAGGGUGAAAGAGGCUGAGGUUGCUAAAAUCAGGGCAGUUGAGAGUCUCCUAUGUGGGGGCUGUCAAAAGGGUAGAAAGAGUGAGUAUAUUUGAAGGUCCGGCGGUAGUGAAGACCGGUAUGCCUACAUUGGAGACUAGACCACAGCUGGAGAAUCCACAGCAGGACCCAGAAAUCCUUCAUGUGAAGAAAGUGGACUUUGUGUCAUUUAUGGGAAUGGCGACAAACCGAACUGGACAAGGUGGCGGCAAUACACAAUGUUUGGAUGUAGUCCACCAAUAAAACCUUGAAGAAGAGGAAGGGGACGUCUAUAUUACUGGAUGAUGGACUUCCUGUUCGUUCGGGUCAUACCGAUACUAAUGACGACAUGGUCCUGAAAGCUCAGGAGACUGCUGAGGGGAGGACAGCUCAUAAUAAUGGCUGCAAUGAAGUGAAUGGAAUGGUAUCAAACACUUUUUCGAUACCUUUCCAUUAAUUCCGUUCCAGCCAUUACUAUUACCAAAUAAGGUGCGACCAACCUCGUGACCCUGAAAGUAUUUCUCCCACCACCAGUUUCCCGUGUGCAGAUACGAAAGACGACCUGAUCUUGAGACUGAUUCUCCCACCACAAGUAACGAGUUGGAAAAAAGACUGCCUGCCCAAGCUUUGAUGAGGCCUGAAAGUCAUAUUGUACCGUUGCAACCAAUAUGGCUGAAUAUCUUCGCCAGGCGACCAAAAGGACAAGAGGAACCGAACCCUUUGCUCUGACUCUCGUGUGACAAUCACCCCUACUCCAUGGCAUUCACUAUCAUGAGCAGGCUCUGGAGCAGAGGACAUUAUGUUUAGCUGUUUUACAAGAAUUCAUAUGGAAAAUGGAUACCUGGUAGGGGUUUGGGGGAGUAAAGGGUAAAGUGUUUACUUUUCUUCACCCCCUUUCCUCAGCUUUAAUUGCUGGGGCUCCUGUGAUUUUUGAAAUGAUGGAUUGUGCUAAAGUUUUUAUUUGUGUGUUCCUUAUUUGUUUAUCCUUUGCAUGACUUCACUUUGGAGCUGAAAUGAAUCAUUCAAAAUACACAUUUUGUAUUUUAUCUACAAUUUGUCAUGAUUGGCCAUAUGUCAUUUUAAGAAUUUCAUCGACUGUGUCGAAAUGUUGUAACAUUGAUUGUUAUGGUUAGACAUAUUUUGUACAUUUAGAGAAUUAACAGGUUCUGUAAUAGAGAAGUAGAAAAAUAACCCAGCAAUAAAGUAAGAAAUAACCCACGGCUGGGUCAAAAAUACAAAAAUAAAAAUAACCCAG